rnacentral:rRNA from 1 species
CCUACGGGUGGCAGCAGUGGGGAAUAUUGGGCAAUGGAGGAAACUCUGACCCAGCAACGCCGCGUGCAUGAUGAAGGUCUUCGGAUUGUAAAGUUCUUUUCUAAGGGAGGAAGAAAGUGACGGUACCUUAGGAAUAAGCCUCGGCUAACUACGUGCCAGCAGCCGCGGUAAUACGUAGGAGGCGAGCGUUAUGCGGAAUGACUGGGCGUAAAGGGUGCGUAGGUGGUUGGGCAAGUUAGUAGCGUAACUCCAAGGCUCAACCUUGGAAUUACUACUAAACCUGUUGGACGAGAGAGCAGGAGGGGCAACCGGAAGUCCUAGUGUAGCAGUGGAAUGCGUAGAGAUUAGAAGGAACACCAGUGGCGAAGGCAGGUUGCUAGGCUGUAACUGACACUGAGGCACGAAAGCGUGGGGAGCAAACAGGAUUAGAUACCCGGGUAGUC